CAAGGGAUAGGGUCGGUUCGGCCGGAUUUUACACAAGUGUUGCAUGGCUGUCGUCAGCUCGUGUCGUGAGAUGUUGGGUUAAGUCCCGCAACGAGCGCAACCCUCAUCCUUAGUUGCCAUCAGGUAAUGCUGAGUACUUUAAGGAAACUGCCAGUGAUAAGCUGGAGGAAGGUGGGGAUGAUGUCAAGUCAUCAUGGCCUUUAUGGAGUGGGCUACACACGUGCUACAAUGGUGUCUACAAUGGGCUGCAAGGUGCGCAAGCCUAAGCUAAUCCCUAAAAGACAUCUCAGUUCGGAUUGUACUCUGCAACUCGAGUACAUGAAGUUGGAAUCGCUAGUAAUCGUGGAUCAGCAUGCCACGGUGAAUACGUUCUCGGGUCUUGUACACACUGCCCGUCACGCCAUGGGAAUUGGUUUCACUCGAAGCU
rnacentral:rRNA from 1 species